CGGUCGGUCUGUCGGUCCGUCCACCAGGUGGUUGUCAGACGAUAACUCAAGAACGCUUGGGCCUAGGAUCAUGAAACUUCAUAGGUACAUUGAUCAUGACUCGCAGAUGACUCCUAUUGAUUUUGAGGUCACUAGGUCAAAGGCCAAGGUCAAAGUGACCAGAAAUAGUAAAAUGGUUUUUGAAUGAUAACUCAAGAACGCAUACGCCUAGGAUCAUGAAACUUCAUGGGUAGAUUGAUCAUGACUUGCAAAUGGCCCCUAUUGAUUUUGAGGUCACAAGGUCAAAGGUCAAGGUCACGGUGACCCGAAAUAUUAAAAUGGUUUCCGGAUGAUAACUCAAGAACGCAUACGCCUAGGAUCAUGAAACUUCAUGGGUAGAUUGAUCAUGACUCACAGAUGACCCCUAUUGAUUUUGAGGUUACUAGGUUAAAGGUCAAGGUCACGGUGACCCAAAAUAGUAAAAUGGUUUUCGGAUGAUAACUAAAGAACGCAUACGCCUAGGAUCAUGAAACUUCAUAGGUAGAUUGAUCAUGACUUACAGAUGACCCCUAUUGAUUUUGAGGUCACAAGGUCAAAGGUCAAGGUCACGGUGACCCGAAAUAGUAAAAUGAUUUUCGGAUGAUAACUCAAGAACGCCUUUGCCUAGGAACAUGACACUUCAUAGGUACAUUGAUCGUGACCCGCAGAUGACCCCUAUUGAUUUUCAGGUCACUAGGUCAAAGGUCAAGGUCACGGUGACCCAAAGCAGUAAAAUGGUUUCUGGAUGAUAACUCAAGAACGCUUAUGCCUAGGAUCAUGAAACUUCAUAGAUACAUUGAUCAUGACUCGCAGAUAACCCCUAUUGAUAUUCAGGUCACAAGGUCAAAGGUCAUUGUCAUGAUGACCCGAAAUAGUAAAAUGGUUUCCGGAUGAUAACUCAAGAAGGCUUAGGCCUAGGAUCAUGAAACUUCUUAGGAAGAUUGAUCAUAACUUGUAGAUGACCCCUAUUGAUUUUCAGGUCACUAGGUCAAAGGUCAAGGUCACGACCCGAAAUAGUAAAAUGGUUUCUGAAUGAUAACUCAAGAACGCUUAGGCCUAAGAUCAUGAAACUGUAUAGGUACAUUGAUCAUGACUCGUAGAUGACCCCUAUUGGUUUUCAGGGCACUAGGUCAAAGGUCAAGGUCACGGUGAUCCGAAAUAGUAAAAUGGUUUCCAGAUAAUAACUCAAGAACGCUUAUGCCUAGGAUCACGAAACUAAAUAGGUACAUUGAUCAUGACUCGAAGAUGACCCCUAUAGAUUUUCAGGUCACUAGGUCAAAGGUCAAGGUCACGGUGACCUGAAAUAGUAAAAUGGUUUUUGGAUAACUCUUGAACGCUUAUGCCUAGGAUCAUGAAACUUCAUAUGUACAAUGAUCAUGACUCGCAGAUGACCCCUAUUAAUUUUCUGGUCACUAGGUCAAAGGUCAAGUUCACGGUGACCUGAAAUAGUAAAAUGGUUUCUGGAUGAUAACUCAAGAACGCUUAUGCCUAGGUUCAUGAAACUUCAUAGGUAUAUUGAUCAUGACUCGCAGAUGAACCCUAUUGAUUAUCCGGUCACUAGGUCAAAGGUCAGGGUCACAGUGCCAAAAAAAACGUAUUCACACAAUGGCUUUCAAGGUCACGGUGACUCAACGUAGAAAAAUGGUUUCCGGAUGAUAACUCAAGAAUGCUUAAGCCUAGGACCAUGAAACUUCAUAGGUACAUUGAUCAUGACUGGCAGAUGAAAUAAAUAAUGAUGAAACUUGAAAAGUUCUUUAAAAAAUUCUUGUCUUCCCAACUACUGUGCCCUCAAGACAUUUCCUUUUAUCUGAAUAUAUAGUGCAAUAUUGUGACAAAAAAAAACUUUGGGGAGCAUCACCCGUCUCCGACGGUUUCUUGUUUUAUUUUUAAAUUUGAUGUCACUUUUCAGGGCUAAAUCUCAGAUACCAUGCAAGACUUCAACAUGAAGUUCAUGUGUGUAUUGAUAUUUAUAAGGAGAAAUGCCACGAGUAAGAACCAUAACCUUACAGUUUCAUAAAUAAGAGUUAUUGCCUUUAGUUGUUCCAGGGCUAUAUUUCAGGUACAAUACAGCAUUUCAACAUAGAAAUUUGAUGGGUGUGUAGAAAUCAAUUGGAAGAAGUACCAUGCACAAGCACCAUACACUUUCUUUAUUUCGAGUAAUUGCCCUUUGUUGUUUUUGUAUGAUGUAACUUUUCAAGGCUAUAUCUAAGAUAAGCUACAAGACAUCAACAUGAAACAUCGUGGGUGUAUAGAUAUCAAUGAGGAGAUUUGCAAUUGCCCUACACUUAAUUAUUUUUUUAUGAUUAUACCGUUAAUCAAGGGAUUUGCAACCAUUCAUAAACUAAAUUUUUGGGCUGGGGAUAUUAAUUCAAUCAAUUUUCUCGUUCUACAUGUAUCAAUCUCCUAUUUUCUUUGAUGUUUAUUAAACCUUGCAGGGAGGGGGUGUACUGGAGUCUCUAUGCUGUUGUUUUUCCUAAUCAGAAAUAAAACAAGUUAGUUUUUCUGCAAACGAUCUUAAGUUUUUGGACGGAACAACUUCCGCAUUUCUCUAGGGAUUGAUUUUAUAUAUUAUCAUCCCACAAUGAAAAUGUGCUUGAGAACUUUCAUUUCCAGUGAUCCAAACACUUCUGAGAUUUUUUAAAUAGUGGACAAAGCAGCGCUGGAGAAUAAGUAACAUUUGUACUCAUGCCCUUGUUUGACUUAAAUUAGGUGCUUGUAUUAGGGUAUUACACAUUUUUCUAAAAUGAAUGGAUUAUUAAAUUAUUAUGCAUGCUUAUAAACAUUUAGCGCUUAGUGCAGUACCAUAAGAUUAUUAUUCAUUUUUUGAUUGUGAUGAUUAGAAAAGGCAGCUUUCUUACAUGCACUUGUAGUAUAUGUGAUGAACACAUCUUUUCAAUAUAAUUUUCUGCUACAAAUAUUUUCUGUAAAUGUCCGAGUCACACUAUGUGCAUGUUUUUACAGCGGAAACAUGCAUUCAUUAUGUGCUAACGGUCCAAUUAUCAUAAUUUCAUUAUAACAAUGUUUACUUCAAUGUCAUGUUCAUAUAUUUAUGCCCCCCUUCGAAGAAAAGGGGGUAUAUUGCUUUGCUCAUGUCGGUAGGUCUGUCCGUCUGUCAGUCCGUCGGUCCGUCCACCAGGUGGUUUCCGGAUGAUAACUCAAGAACGCUUGGGCCUAGGAUCAUGAAACAUCAUAGGUACAUUGAUCAUGACUCGCAGAUGACCCCUAUUGAUUUUCAGGUCACUAGGUCAAAGGUCAAGGUCAAGAUGACCCAAAAUAGUAAAAUGGUUUACAGAUGAUAACUCAAGAACACUUAUGCCUAGGAUCAUGAAACUUCAUAGAUACAUUGAUCAUGACUCGCAGAUGACCCCUAUUGAUUUUCAGGUCACUAUAUCAAAGGUCAAGGUCACGGUGACCUGAAAUAGUAAAAUGGUUUCCGGAUGAUAACUCAAGAACGCCAAUGGCUACGGUCAUGAAACUUCAUAGGUACAUUGAUCAUGACUGGCAGAUGAUUCCUAUUGAUUUUCAGGUCACUAGGUCAAAGGUCAAGGUCACAGUGACAAAAAACUUAUCUACACAAUGACUGUCACUACAACGGGUUGCCCAUAUGGGGGGCAUGCAUGUUUUACAAACAGCCCUUGUUCUUUUAGAUGUUGUGUAGUAUCUGCUACAUCAGUUAUGGUCAGUGUAGCUAUUUUGACGCUAGUGUAUAAAUUGGCGCCAGUGUAUAAAUUGGCGUUGGCAAAUGGCAUCCUUUUUAUUAAGACACCGUAUACGAAUGCACAUAUUAUACUAGUAUAGCUUUAAAAACUAAAAUAAAAUACAAUUCCCUGCUCUUCGUUAUAUUACAAGAAAAUGUGUUUACUGCACUUUAUUGUUAGUAAUAAACACAUUUGCGUCUGA